CGAGGACGAACGCUGGCGGCGCGCCUAACACAUGCAAGUCGAACGAGCGAGAGAGAGCUUGCUUUCUCGAGCGAGUGGCGAACGGGUGAGUAACGCGUGAGGAACCUGCCUCAAAGAGGGGGACGAACAGUUGGAAACGACUGCUAAUACCGCAUAAGCCCACGGGUCGGCAUCGACCAGAGGGAAAAGGAGCAAUCCGCUUUGAGAUGGCCUCGCGUCCGAUUAGCUGGUUGGUGAGGUAACGGCCCACCAAGGCAACGAUCGGUAGCCGGACUGAGAGGUUGAACGGCCACAUUGGGACUGAGACACGGCCCAAACUCCUACGGGAGGCAGCAGUGGGGAAUAUUGCACAAUGGGGGAAACCCUGAUGCAGCGACGCCGCGUGAGUGAAGAAGUAUUUCGGUAUGUAAAGCUCUAUCAGCAGGGAAGAAAGUGACGGUACCUGAAUAAGAAGCCCCGGCUAACUACGUG
rnacentral:rRNA from 1 species